UUUUAAUCUUUUCCUGCUCAAGAUGCGUGAUGGUCUAAACAGGUAUCGUAUAUGUUUAUAUUUAUACCACGAUUAGGUAUGUGUAUAGGUUUCGGUGAUUCGGCGCAGUAUUCAUCGAACAGGCCCUGUGAUCUGAUUGUGUAUUGUGGAUCUUGUUCUAAGAUUCAAAAAUUCUGGGUUUAUUUGAUUAAAUGAACAGCCUGUGAAAAACAUUGCACUCCUUUGGUAUUUUACAAGGACUUCUUCUAGAACUAUGACGUCGACUUCAUCAAAGCUUCCUUUGCAAAAAUUUUGCUUCUGUAUGUCGCUGAGAAUAGGAUGUUUUAUUAUGGCAUAUACGAAAUUGAUUGGGAUCAUUAUCCUUACCAUAACCGAUGGGGUUAUUAUACACAUUGAAAUCACUAAAUUAAAUAAAAAAUAUCAAUAUAUAAGUUUAUUGUGGAUUGCAGACAUCUGUAUAAUUUUCUUCGUCAUACUUUUGACCCUAACAUUCAAUAUCAUUCUUCUCGUUGGAUUACAUAAGAAAAAACCUGGUCACGUAAAAGCUUAUACUAUUUAUUAUACAAUACUUAUUGUUAUUUUCGCGGUUUUUAUAGUCAUGUCAAUUACAAGAGGAAAUAAUGAAUUGUCAGUUAUUUUUUUAAGAAUUACACAAUUACUUGUAUCCAUCUAUAUAAACCUCGUCUACAGAAGUUACUACAUCAGUAUGAAAGAAACGUCUGAACAAACCGUUUAAUGCAUGAAAUAUUUUCAUAAUAUUAUUGGAACGAAGUUUUACUCGGCGUAAGGAAAAAGCUUUAUGCCUCCAGGCGACGUUUCCCACUCUUCCUCUUUCUCUAUUUCUUUUAUAUACGCCUUUAUAUAAAAUUAUUUAAAACAUUAUUAAUUUAUUUCAUCGUAUCUGUUAUUUAAUCAUUCUUACAUAACGAAAACCACUUCGUUCCAACCAUGUGUCCCAAGACUACACUCUUCCUUUUAGUAUAUUCCAAUGGCAGGAGAAGUAAUGUAAACGAAUCUUAAAUUUAUAUAUUCCAUGUGAUUUGUUAAUAGAACCGCUAUAUUAUGCAUUACAAACAUAUUGUGAUGAAUAUACAUAUUAUACUGAAAUACUUAUAUCCACAAACAUUCAACACCCCCUUUUUCACAAAUCUAUUUUGAAUACUUUAUGUAGGAUACUUCUCGAGCAGUGAUGUCACGUUAAUUCAAGGUCAAAUUUUUUUAUUUAUCUUUACCCCUCCUUCCAUUGAAAUCGACUGUAUGUACUAGUGAUAUAAUUAAAAUAACUUGCUAUGUAAUAUUAUUUAUGAUUAUGCAGUUAUGUAUAAUUUGCCUUAUACGUUACAUAUUAUUAAAUAUUAUUUUGUUAUUUAUUUUAAAGUUAACAUGUUUAUGUAAUACUGCACGAAUAUGAAGCAUCAGUAAGUGCUUAUUAUUAUUUUUUUACAAUCGAAAACUGUAUUGCGGCGAAAUGCUCAUUCCGGCAAAUAUUUUAAUUUUUAUAUUAAUCAUUUUCCCUUCAAUAAAGCGUGAACCCUUAAAAAAUUUCUUAAAGCUUAUGAAAAAAUCACUAAUUAAGUACUUUAAGUCGUUUAAUUAUAAUAAAUAAAAAACCAAAAUACUUUUAUUGAAUAUCUAUAUUUUUAUAGUUUAACUUGGAGAUUCAGCGAGAGAAGUUUCUUUUUCGUUUCUUUGCUUAAUAACUGUUUUCCUGUUCAUUUUAGCACAAAAUUAGGUUAGAACGAAUUUAUAGAACAUGUCUUUCUGAAAGUUUUGUUCGAUAUUUUUUUUCAUUUUGGUCAAUUUGAAACGCUGUUACAGCGCUCCCCCAACGGGGACAAGGGCGCCAACCCCACAAACUUGGGGUUAAGGUUGUAUUGACGCCCCCUACAUGUCCCACAGAUAAAAUCGCGUCCUUUAGGAAAUGUUCAGUUUGGCCCUAAAAUUGUAACAUUUCAAUGGACUAAUUCAUUAAUUCGUUAUUUAUUUCCAUUUUUCCCUAUAAUUAAGGACAAUGUUACGUAUAUUUUUAUGAUAUAAUGUCAUUGCGAUGUCAUUGCAACCGUACCAAAUAGCUAAAAUAUAUUUUAUAUUUAUCAAUAUU